GAGUAGAGUGGCGAACGGGUGAGUAACACAUCGGAACGUACCCAGGAGUGGGGGACAACCUCGAGAAAUCGAGGCUAAUACCGCAUACGUCCUGAGGGAGAAAGCGGGGGAUCCGUAAGGACCUCGCGCUCAUGGAGCGGCCGAUGUCGGAUUAGCUAGUUGGCGGGGUAAAAGCCCACCAAGGCUACGAUCCGUAGCUGGUUUGAGAGAACGACCAGCCACACUGGGACUGAGACACGGCCCAGACUCC
rnacentral:rRNA from 1 species